rnacentral:rRNA from 1 species
AGAGUUUGAUCCUGGCUCAGGAUGAACGCUAGCUACAGGCUUAACACAUGCAAGUCGAGGGGAAACGACAUCGAAAGCUUGCUUUUGAUGGGCGUCGACCGGCGCACGGGUGAGUAACGCGUAUCCAACCUGCCCACCACUUGGGGAUAACCUUGCGAAAGUAAGACUAAUACCCAAUGACGUCUCUAGAAGACAUCUGAAAGAGAUUAAAGAUUUAUCGGUGAUGGAUGGGGAUGCGUCUGAUUAGCUUGUUGGCGGGGUAACGGCCCACCAAGGCGACGAUCAGUAGGGGUUCUGAGAGGAAGGUCCCCCACAUUGGAACUGAGACACGGUUCAAACUCCUACGGGAGGCAGCAGUGAGGAAUAUUGGUCAAUGGACGAGAGUCUGAACCAGCCAAGUAGCGUGCAGGAUGACGGCCCUAUGGGUUGUAAACUGCUUUUAUAAGGGAAUAAAGUGAGUCUCGUGAGACUUUUUGCAUGUACCUUAUGAAUAAGGACCGGCUAAUUCCGUGCCAGCAGCCGCGGUAAUACGGAAGGUCCGGGCGUUAUCCGGAUUUAUUGGGUUUAAAGGGAGCGUAGGCCGGAGAUUAAGCGUGUUGUGAAAUGUAGACGCUCAACGUCUGCACUGCAGCGCGAACUGGUUUCCUUGAGUACGCACAAAGUGGGCGGAAUUCGUGGUGUAGCGGUGAAAUGCUUAGAUAUCACGAAGAACUCCGAUUGCGAAGGCAGCUCACUGGAGCGCAACUGACGCUGAAGCUCGAAAGUGCGGGUAUCGAACAGGAUUAGAUACCCUGGUAGUCCGCACGGUAAACGAUGGAUGCCCGCUGUUGGUCUGAAUAGGUCAGCGGCCAAGCGAAAGCAUUAAGCAUCCCACCUGGGGAGUACGCCGGCAACGGUGAAACUCAAAGGAAUUGACGGAAGGGCG